GCUUGAUAGGCUUGAAAAAAACACUGGAAACAGGAAAAGGGCUAACGAGACAGAUGCGAGACAGGUGCGGAGGGGAUGCAGGCUGGUGCUUCCUUGGCACUAACCCCUCCGAGAAGGGACCAACUCGGAAGGAACGACAGGCAAGAGAAGGUCUCCGAGUGGGUCUGCAUGUCGCCACUCUCCUGAAGAACUUGAUGGGUUUUGAGUGGCACUUCAUAAAGAUUUUUUCUCAAUCCCUCCUUAACCUCCACCCGUCCCUGCUGUUGUCAGAAAGUGCUCCAGAAGCCAAGGGCAGAUGCCCGAGGCUCUGUCCCUGGACGGCCUUCCGGGUCUGAAAUAUACAGUUUUCUAUACCCUGCGUGAGAUCGAAGAGCCGACCUGAUGCCACAUUGGCCUGCCAGCGUCCAGAUUACACAUGCAGCUGACAUGGAGAGCUGUUAACUGACAGAUGGUUGAAGCAUGAAUCUGCAUUCAAGUCAGUGAAAGCUCGAGGCUUAAGGUUCUCCAUGCUUGCACAUGAUAAACAGUAGAUGUGUGUACUGGCUCGCUGUGGGUGUGUGUCAUUGUGUAUCGGCUUGUGUGUUGUAUUGUGCGCUCAAUAUUUGUAACUCGGCAGCUCCUCAUGCAUAAAAUAAAUCAUGUGUGCCAUUGA